rnacentral:rRNA from 1 species
UACGUAGGGGGCAAGCGUUAUCCGGAUUUACUGGGUGUAAAGGGGGCGCAGACGGCGAUGCAAGCCAGGAGUGAAAGCCCGGGGCCCAACCCCGGGACUGCUCUUGGAACUGCGUGGCUGGAGUGCAGGAGGGGCAGGCGGAAUUCCUGGUGUAGCGGUGAAAUGCGUAGAUAUCAGGAGGAACACCGGUGGCGAAGGCGGCCUGCUGGACUGCAACUGACGUUGAGGCACGAAAGCGUGGGGAGCAAACGGG